rnacentral:rRNA from 1 species
AUACGGAGGGUGCAAGCGUUACUCGGAAUCACUGGGCGUAAAGCGCGCGCAGGCGGCUAUUUAAGUUGGAUGUGAAAGCCUACGGCUCAACCGUAGAACUGCAUCCAAAACUAUUUAGCUAGAGUGUGGGAGAGGAAGAUGGAAUUAGUUGUGUAGGGGUAAAAUCCGUAGAGAUAACUAGGAAUACCAAAAGCGAAGGCAAUCUUCUGGAACACUACUGACGCUGAGGCGCGAAAGCGUGGGGAGCAAACGGGAUUAGAUACCCCGUAGUCC